GGUUUAGAACGUCGUGAGACAGUUUGGUCCCUAUCUACUGUGUACAUUGAAAAUCAAGGAAAUUAUUCUUCAGUACGAGAGGACCGAGAAAUGCAAACCUAUUGUGUAUCGGUUGUUUUUUAAGCAUCGCCGAGUAGCUACGUUUGUAAUAGAUAAUCACUGAAAGCAUAUAAGUGAGAAGCCAAUUCCAAGAUAAAUUUUCUCAAAGCCGUAAUAGACGAUUACGUUGUUGUAAAAGACUUGCAAGAAAACUUUGAAGUUUUUUUGUAGAUAGGCUUUUUGUGUAAGGGUAGUAAUACUUGAAGCUAAAAAGUA
rnacentral:rRNA from 1 species